rnacentral:rRNA from 1 species
UACGAAGGGGGCUAGCGUUGUUCGGAAUUACUGGGCGUAAAGGGCUCGUAGGUGGCCAACUAAGUCAGACGUGAAAUCCCCAGGCUUAACCUGGGAACUGCGUCUGAUACUGGAUGGCUUGAAUUCGGGAGAGGGAUGCAGAAUUCCAGGUGUAGCGGUGAAAUGCGUAGAUAUCUGGAGGAAUACCGGUGGCGAAGGCGGCAUCCUGGACCGAGAUUGACACUGAUGAGCGAAAGCUAGGGGAGCAAACGGG